GUGGACUCGAUGUCAGGUGUAGAACAGUUACUAUAUGUGUGUAAAUACACAGCACCGUGUGUACCUGUAAAGGUAUAAUCAAUUCAUGAACUGAUUUCUUGUUCACUUGUAUAAUUUUGUGAUUUCCUGCAUCAAUGAAUGCACAAAAAAUUUAAAAUAAGCAUAUAUAUUUCUUAAUCUCAUUUAUUAUUCAUUAGAAUAUACCUGUAUUGUGUACCAUAUACAUUAUAGUGCAAAUAUAUUUUUCUUUUAAUAAGAUGUCAUUUUUAAAGUACGGAUGUAUUCAUAAUUUAUAAAAAAAAAUCCUGAGUUUUUAUUAACCUUUAUUGCGUAGCAUCAUGUUAAUCUAGGUAAAUUAUUUCAGACUUUUCUGUUAGAAAUAUGUAUCAGUUGAUUUGUUACACGUUUUAGUGAGUUGAGAUUGAUUAAAAGGUUUUAGAAUAUGGAUGGUACAAACUGCAUAAAAUGAUACCAGGUAUACAGUGCAUAUAGUGGUUUCCCAUUGCCAUUGUUUCCCUUGCGAGUUGCAACUUUUUAUGUAAACAUGAUAGCUGUCUAUUAACUGCCCUCAUAUCCAUAGCAAAGUGUGUACAUACUUAGAACUCUGGACCAGAUACAUUUAGAUGUUUUUCGUGAAACAAUUUGCAAAAUAAAAAGAUUGAUUUUUCAGUGCUGCAUGUAUGGACAAUGUUGUUUCCAUUUUUAAUAUAUGAAAUAAACGUCCGAGAUGG
rnacentral:misc_RNA from 1 species